rnacentral:lncRNA from 10 species
GUGACAGAAAACCUGCCCAACAGUGGCUUCAUAAUAUCUGGAGUUAUUUCCCUCAUAUAUUAAGAAGUUGGGAAAUGGGCAGGUACAGGCAUUGAUUCAACUACCCGUGGAAUCAUUAAAGACCAGGUUAACUGGAUCAUGGAGGAUGAGUCACCUGUCAGAAAUACGUGGAGAAAAGGAAAUUUUGCCUGCAAAGCUCUGAUUGUAUCAUGAGCACACUGUCUGAAGAUGAGAGAGACCAGGCUGUUUAUUGCUUUUGGGAGGCAUCAGAGUCCAAUCGGCAUGUGAGUCACUUUUCAGAGGCUGGAUCAACGGGCAGCCCCCUGGCUGCAGGAGCUGAGCCUGCCUCACCUCCCAAGAGUGCUGUUGGGCUGUGAGCUGGCGGUUAAGUUACUGCCUUGACCUCCAAAGUCCCAGCUGCUUAAGAAGCCUUCAUCACAUCAAAUAGUGCUGCAUCCCCUCAAGGUGGUAAAUGAGGUGGCUGGUGGGGUGGCCAGGCUCAGCAUUUGUGUCGCAGCUGCAAAUGACGCUGGCCAGGGGACAAUGAAUGAGGUGACGAUACAGAUGGAGGGAUGAAGGGGUCCAUCUGGCUGUGGUCCCCCUCCUACCCCCACUCCCCUUCAUUCUUAAGAAUCAGGAAGUGGGCAACAGUGGGUGAUUCAUUUUGGUGAGUGGAGUAUCAGCUGGUGGCCACAUUAUAGUUGGCUAAAAUUCAGGAUAUUAAAACAAUAAAAUACAAUAAACACGCCGGUGCGGUGGCUCAUGCCUGUAAUCCCAGCACUUUGGGAGGCCAAGGAGGGUGGAUCACUUGGUCAGGAGGUCCAGACCAGCCUGGCCAAUGUGGUGAAACCAUGUCUCAACUAAAAAUAAAAAAAUUAGCUGGGCACGGUAGCAGCCCCCUGUAAUCCCAGCUACUCGGGAGGCUGAGGCAGGAGAAUCACUUGAACCCGGAGCGGGUGGAGGUUGCAGUGAGCUGAGAUCGUGCCAUUGUACUCCAGCCUGGGCAACAGAGUGAGACUCGGCCUCAGAAACAAAAAUAAAAAACAAUAAACACUAAAACGAAAUGGGAUGCAGCCGGGGCUGCUUGUGG